CUAAUACUCCCUCCGUCCAACAAAAAAUGUCUCAACUUUGACUAAAUUUGAAUGCAUCUAUAUACUAAGUUAUAUUUAGAUACAUUUAAAUUUUGACAAACUUGAAACAUCUUUUGGACGGAGGGAGUAGGUU
rfam:Brachypodium distachyon strain Bd21 chromosome 1, whole genome shotgun sequence.